rnacentral:rRNA from 1 species
AUUGAACGCUGGCGGCAGGCCUAACACAUGCAAGUCGAGCGCGAAAGUCUUCGGAUGAGUAAAGCGGCGAACGGGUGAGUAAUGCAUGGGAAUCUGCCUGGUAGUGGGGGACAACGUCUCGAAAGGGACGCUAAUACCGCAUACGCCCUACGGGGGAAAGGGGGGGAGUCUUCGGACCUCUCGCUAUCAGAUGAGCCCAUGUCAGAUUAGCUAGUUGGUGAGGUAAAGGCUCACCAAGGCGACGAUCUGUAACUGGUCUGAGAGGAUGAUCAGUCACACUGGAACUGAGACACGGUCCAGACUCCUACGGGAGGCAGCAGUGGGGAAUAUUGGACAAUGGGGGCAACCCUGAUCCAGCCAUGCCGCGUGUGUGAAGAAGGCCCUAGGGUUGUAAAGCACUUUCAGUGGGGAGAAAGGUUAUUCACCUAAUACGUGAGUAGAUUGAUGUUACCCACAGAAGAAGCACCGGCUAACUCCGUGCCAGCAGCCGCGGUAAUC